AAAUGUUUGAGAUAACUUGUCGAGAAACUCGUGCGAGAUGAAAAAAGUCUUAAAAAUGAGUUUGCUUGACACUCAAUUUUUUUCCAUUUAUAUUGCCACAUGAAAUUAUUUGGAGGAGCUUUUGGAGCUCGAUAUUUACAUAUCACGUCAUAUUCCUCCGCGGAUAUUUUUAUAUGAGUUCACGAUAAUCCAAGCGGUUCUGUAAACACCAAAUACUUUAAUUUUUUUUUUUUUUAGUUCCAAAGCCAUUAACCUAUUCACUCUUUGGAGAAACCUAAUUUCUUUUUAUCUCAUAAAUUACUAUUCCACAUAAUCAGUGAAAACUGGACCCACAUAAGUUAACCGUUUAUGUUUCUUGGAACCUGGUUUUCUUUCUUGUUUUUUUCCCGCUUUUACAGUUGGAAUUGGAACCUGGUUUUUCUUUGUUGUUUUUUCCGGAUUUACAACUUGUUUAGAAGAGUAGUAAACAAUUACAUUCUCCCAAAAUAAAAAAAAUAAAAAAUAAAAAAAACAAACAGGCACAUUUCUCGAAUUCUCCGCAGCAUUACGGAUGGUUCAGUUGGAGUCAGUAUGUUGGUGCUUUGGAAGAUGUUAUGGUACCAAUUAUUGCACUGUUUGAUGGUUUUAGGAUUGUGAAGAUGGAGGGAGUUGACAAGUUGGUUCCUUUCAUUGUUAAUCAAGUUUCAUUGCAAAGUUUACUUUGUUCUCUCUUCUGUGGUGAUAAUAUUCUUUCUUGUUUGGAUACUGAAGUGUCCGGUUUUCUUACUGAUGUAGUUUUUUUUGGUCCUCAUCACUAUCCAGUAAUUUGACUUGAAAAGACAAGUUUUAGUAGGCGUUCGGUAAAUAUUUGAGUUGAAGUUGAGCAAAAGAUAUCUGAAGUUGGAAAAAAAAAAAAUAUGUGGAAGUUGAAGUUG